rnacentral:lncRNA from 1 species
GGAAGAAUUCAUGCUCUUUAAUCCUUGCUGCAUUUCAUCACUUAGAAGCACUAUAUUAAGCAAAGGUCCUGUCCCCGUGCUUCAAUAAACCACCAUUUUGCACCAAAGAUGUCUCAAGAAUUUUU